GAUGAACGCUGGCGGCGUGCCUAAUACAUGCAAGUCGAGCGAAGCGGGGACGGGUGAGUAACACGUGGAUAACCUCCUAUAAGACUGGGAUACCAUCGGGAAACCGGAGCUAUACCCGAUACUUAUGGAAGGAUACACGCUGCAUUAGGUGGUUGGUAAGGUAACGGCUGACCAAGCCAACGAUGAAUGGCCGACCUGAGAGGGUGACCGGCCACACUGGAACUGGAACACGGUCAAGACUCCUACGGGAGGCAGCAGUAGGGAAUCUUCCGCAAUGGGCGAAAGCCUGACAGAGCAACGCCGCGUGAGUGAGGAAGGUCUUCGGAUCGUAAAACUCUUUAAUUGGGGAGGCGGUACCUGAACAGAAAGCCACGGCUAACUACGUGCCAGCAGCCGCGGUAAUAC
rnacentral:rRNA from 1 species